AUCUUAAAGAGGAAGAAUUAGAGAGUUGUUUAAAUGCCAUGGACGAGACAGAUUGUGUGGAUGAUGAUAUUGAUGUGCUCUCACUUCCGGUGGAAUAACCACCUUUUGUUGCUGCUGCCUGCUGUACCCCGUUGUCGCUGAACAUCGGGUUUUUGUUGCUGUUCAGUGAAAUUGCCAGUUUUAAGCUGGUUGUGCAACUUUUGGUUGCUGUAAUUAUUUAAUAGCUGGUGGCAAGUUUGGAACAUUGAUUUUUGAUUUUCUUGUUGGACUGAAAACUGUUGAUUUUGGUACAUGUGUUGGAUUAGUUGAGCUUGGUAUGGUUCUAUUUUUUGGUUGUCCAAUCUUUGGGAUUGGUUGGUUGGAUUAUGUUGAACUUGAUACCGUAGCUGGUUGGAUUCAGUUGAGCUUGAUUUGUGCUGGUUGGAUUCUGUUUAGCUUGAAUUGUGCUGGUUGGAUUCUGUUAAGUUUGAUUUGUGCUGGUUGGAUUCUGUUGAACUUGAUUUGUGCUGGUUGGAUUCUAUUGAGCUUGAUAUGUUGGUGGGUGGAUUCUGUUGAGCUUGAUAUAUUUCCUUUUUUUUGGAAUGAGGGUAAGUGUUCGAUGACGAAAAUUUUCCGAGAGCAAAAUUUUGAGCUUGUUAAGUUGCUGGUUGCUGUUGGGCUUUGUAAGUGUCCCUUUCCGAAAUAAAGUCUCAAAACUUUUUCCUAUCUUGUUGAUUAAAUUGUUUGGAACCCGAGUUGCUAUGUUGGGAACUCUCACUAGAGUACACAUAAUUUCAUUUUGGAUUACUUUAGUGAGGUGAUGCCCAAAGCAUCUUGAUGGAUUCAAAUAAUUUUAGUUGACAUUUUGGGUUAUUGUUUUGGGACUAUGUGCUCAAUGAUGAUAGUACUCUGAGAGCCCAAAUUUAAAUUUUUUUUUUAUCUUUUUCAACACAUUACAUAUUUACAUUUGGUGUGGUUAUGUUUUGGUAAGUUAUUACAUCAAAUUUUUCAUCCUUUUUUUUAUGUUACCUAUGCUAACUGUUUAUUGUAUUGUAGGGUGCAAAGUGGAGGCAGAUAUGAUUUUUAGGAUUUUUAUAUAUUGUAAAUUGAAAAAAAAAAUAUUUUUUGUUUUCAUGUUUUUUGUUUAGUUGUAAUUUGUAAUUUGUAAAAUAUGUUGUGAUAUAAAUAAAAAUUUGGAUUUGGUUUUUACA